rnacentral:rRNA from 1 species
UACGUAGGGUGCAAGCGUUGUCCGGAAUUAUUGGGCGUAAAGAGCUCGUAGGCGGUCUGUCGCGUCUGCUGUGAAAAUCCAGGGCUCAACCCUGGACCUGCAGUGGGUACGGGCAGACUAGAGUGCGGUAGGGGAGAUCGGAAUUCCUGGUGUAGCGGUGGAAUGCGCAGAUAUCAGGAGGAACACCGGUGGCGAAGGCGGGUCUCUGGGCAGUAACUGACGCUGAGGAGCGAAAGCGUGGGGGAGCGAACAGGA